rnacentral:rRNA from 1 species
CCUANGGGAGGCAGCAGUAAGGAAUAUUGGACAAUGGUCGAAAGACUGAUCCAGCCAUGCCGCGUGAAGGAUGAAGGCCCUAUGGGUUGUAAACUUCUUUUGUAUGGGAAAAAACCUCUCUACGUGUAGAGAGCUGAUUGUACCAUAAGAAUAAGGAUCGGCUAACUCCGUGCCAGCAGCCGCGGUAAUACGGAGGAUCCAAGCGUUAUCCGGAUUCAUUGGGUUUAAAGGGUGCGUAGGCGGAAUGAUAAGUCAGUGGUGAAAGCCUGCAGCUUAACUGCAGAACUGCCAUUGAUACUGUCAAUCUUGAGUACAUUUGAUGUGGGCGGAAUGUGUCAUGUAGCGGUGAAAUGCUUAGAUAUGACACAGAACACCGAUUGCGAAGGCAGCUCACAAAACUGUAACUGACGCUGAGGCACGAAAGCGUGGGUAUCAAACAGGAUUAGAUACCCUUNUANUA